CCUACGGGGGGCAGCAGUGAGGAAUAUUGGUCAAUGGACGCAAGUCUGAACCAGCCAUGCCGCGUGCAGGAAGACGGCUCUAUGAGUUGUAAACUGCUUUUGUACGAGGGUAAACGCAGAUACGCGUAUCUGUCUGAAAGUAUCUUACGAAUAAGGAUCGGCUAACUCCGUGCCAGCAGCCGCGGUAAUACGGAGGAUUCAAGCGUUAUCCGGAUUUAUUGGGUUUAAAGGGUGCGUAGGCGGUCGGAUAAGUUAGAGGUGAAAUCCCGAGGCUCAACUUCGGACUUGCCUCUGAUACUGUUCGGCUAGAGAGUAGGUGAGGUAGGCGGAAUGUAUGGUGUAGCGGUGAAAUGCUUAGAGAUCAUACAGAACACCGAUUGCGAAGGCAGCAUACCAAGCUAAUUCUGACGUUGAGGCACGAAAGCGUGGGGAGCAAACAGGAUUAGAUACCCUAGUAGUC
rnacentral:rRNA from 1 species